AGCGAUGGACCUGCCCAAUGCCACUGUUUGGUACUUAAAGCGAGGUUGCCCUUUGUAUAUUCGGUUUUUUGACAUAGAAUAUACAAGGGCAAGCUCUCUGUGAGUAUCAAACCUUG
rnacentral:miRNA from 1 species